rnacentral:tRNA from 1 species
GCCCGGGUGGCUCAGCGGUUGAGCGUUUGCCUUCAGCUCAGAUCCUGAUCCCAGGGUCCUGGGAUCGAGUCCCACAUCGGGCU